rnacentral:rRNA from 1 species
AACGAACGCUGGCGGCGUGGAUAAGACAUGCAAGUCGAGCGGGAACUUUCGCUGUAGCAAUACAGUGAAAGUUCUAGCGGCGAACGGGUGCGUAACACGUGGACAAUCUGCCUUAAAGUGGGGGAUAGCUCGGCGAAAGCCGAAUUAAUACCGCAUGUGAUGAGAGACGACAUCGUCUUGAAAUCAAAGCCGGGGCAACCUGGCGCUUUUUGAGGAGUCCGCGGCCUAUCAGCUUGUUGGUGAGGUAGCGGCUCACCAAGGCUAUGACGGGUAGCUGGUCUGAGAGGACGACCAGUCACACUGGAACUGAGACACGGUCCAGACACCUACGGGUGGCAGCAGUCGAGUAAUUUUUCUCAAUGGGGAAACCCUGAAGGAGCGACGCCGCGUGGAGGA